AUCCUUGUGGCUCAGUUGGUAGAGCAUGGUGUUUGCAACGCCAGCAUGGUGUGUGCAACGCCAGGGUUGUGGGUUCGAUUCCCACUGGGGUG
rnacentral:tRNA from 1 species